CCUCUGAUGUACAGCAGGUACAGCUACAAUCUCACAGUAUCUUCCUGUUUUAAUUUCAUACAGGAUCAUACUGUAAGUGGCAAUGCAUUCUGGGAGAAAAUAUUA